GCUGCGGACGAGGGCAAGGACUAAUGUCUGUGGAGAAAGGGGUUCCGUUUGGACUUCCGCUCUGGGACCCGAGGGAGCGGCGGGCAAAGCCGCACUGGAAGGCGAAGGGGCGCGGCAAGGCCCGCGGCCUGGGCAUCCAAGGCCCGGCCCAGGUCCGCGUGUGCUUCUUACCGGAGCUGGGAAGCAGAGUGUCACCGGUGGGAGAAAAAAUGUGGAUCCCCUGGGACGGGCUCGUCGUGAUUGGAAAGAAAAUGGAGCUGCUGGGUAGAAGCAAGCAAAAACCUAAGAAGCCGAAACCUAAGGAAGAUGAGGAAACGGUCUGGAAAGCCAAGUCGGGCCUGAGUCAGGAGAGGAAUGUGCGGCUCCUGCACCGCGUAGCCACUGUGUUACGGUCCUCAGUCGGCUUGGUGCAAGAGAGCCCCAAGGAAGUGUGGGGAAAGCAGGAAGCCAGCCUCAAAACCAAGGUUGAAGCUGGGAGUGCAGGGACGACCGCAGGGUCUAGGAGGCAGUCCGGGCUCAGAGAGACGCCCAGGUUUCCCGGGGUGGGGACCAGUAGAGAGGACAUGAGAUCCAGAGGACACAGACCAGGGCAGAAUGAGGAGUUGAGCAUAAGUGGAGGGAAGCUGAAGUUGAGUGAAGAGAGGCGGCGAUCCAGAGGAGAGAAGCUGGGGUCCAGUGGAGAGGAUUUGAAGGGUUCGAGAAUAGGGAGCAUAAAUGAAGAGAAAAUUGAACGAGUGGUAGUGAAAGAGUUCCUGGCGCUGAGAUAGAAAUUCCUUUGCAAAGGGUGGGCAGGAAUGAUGAACUAGGAGACGGAGGAAGGGGUGGAAGUUGAGGAGGAUGUCUUGGUGGAGUGAAUGAUAGUACAGAUGAAUCUGAAUGAGGCAGAUGAAGGAUUGAAGCUAAAGAGGGAAAGAGGAGCAGUUGGAGAAAGUAUUGCAAGUCAAUGAGGAGAAAUUAGAGCCCAGCAGAACAUUAUUGACCCUGAAAGAGUAAAUAUGGGAGAGGAAAGGAAGCAUCUAAGGCUGAGAAUGAAGAGCUACCGGGGCUGAAGGCAGAGACCAAGACCAAAAGGAAACAGAAGAGUGGUAAAGGAGAUGGGAACAUUCUGAGGAGAAAGAAAAUAUUUGAUAAUGUGUUAACGCGUAAAGAAACAUUGGAUGUUCGUUUCUUGGAGAAGAGCUGUAACCAAGGAGCUUGUAGAGAAAUAUUUGAGAAAUGGAUGGGCUGUAAGGAUUUGGUUUGCAUAGUAAGAAUGCAGUGAGAAAAAUGGAAAAUUACAGCACGAUAAAGGACAAAUAAUGAAGGUUGUCGAGGAAGAUACAGGCCGGAGCAAGCAAAGAAAACUUCUGAACGAGGAUCCUAAAGAUGGACGAGGGACUCUACAGAGACAAAAGCAAGAAAAGAGAGAGAUAAGAAAAUAAACAAAUGAAGAAAAAAAGCUCAUUUUGGUCAACCACAUCAUCUAAUAGCUUCCAGAGAAAGUGACCAUAGCAGACAAGCGCCUAAUACUACGUGAUCAAAACCGUGCUGAGAGCCAGGGACACAACAGUCAGGUGCCCUGCCCUGAGGACAAGAGGAGCAUGCAGGGACUGAUUUGUGAACAAGAUGUUGGUAAGAUCAAGAUCAUGGUCAGACAGUACUUCGUUGUUGUUGUUGUUGUUUUGCGGGCGCCAGGACCAACGAUCACCAGCUGCCCAAGUACCAAAAAAUUGUGCUUCUGAAGUCUCUUGAUGUCGGUUCCACCUGUAGAGCAAUCAAGCUGCUCUGCGUGUGCCACUCAGGACAGAAGCCCUUUUUAUGGUCACACAGUGCUUUGAUGACUUCAGGAAGAAUGCAACCUGACUGGCCAUUCCCCUGGGCAGUUCACAAGCCCCAGGCCCGGGGCUUCCAUCGGCUGCUGUUGACACAGUGCCCCAUGGCACUAUGUUGUUCCUGACCUUGGCAUCCACACUCUUAUCUCCAGAAGCAGGAUAAGCGGUAGUUCAGCCACUGGAGUCUCCUCACGCGGCCCUCUGUCAUCUCCAGCGUGACUUGUCGGGCUGCAUAGUUCCAGCCCAGCCAGGAACUAAUAAGAGGACAGGAGGCCCGCGGCGUCCGUCCACCAGGCGAAACCACACCCGGAGCGGAGCGCCCGUCGAGGGCAUGUCAGCACCAGCAAGCCAUGAGAGGCUCCGAGAGGCGGGGCCUGGGCCGGGGAGCAGGGCUGGCAGGAGUAUUAGGAGAAAAACUUAGUGACAAAAAGAUUUUAAAAGACGUGUUGGAUAACUGAGGAAGGGACUAGUGCAGAAAUGAGGAAUAAAGCGCAGGAAACCAAAGCCUUGGUGGCCGGGCGGAAAGGGGCAGCCCCGCACUGCUGACCAAGUCGUCUCCGCCUGCGCCCCAUCACACAGGCCGCUGCGCUCCAGGACCCCUGCAUCGGCGGCUCCAGGGGUGGGUGCCUGUGACACGAGGAGCAGAGGAGGAUGCUGGCUGGAUCUGGAAGCAGCGAGGGGCCACGAGGAGAAGGAGACUGAGGAACCAGGCGAGGAAGAGCAGUGAAAACGAUCCGAGGAGGAGAAGGGGGCGAGGGCAGGAAAGGUGGAGGAGGGAGAGAAGAGGGAAGACCAUGCUUCUCAUCUGAGGGGCGGAUGGCCUGGGAGUGGUGCAGUCAGGAAUGAGUCUCCAACGUGGUCAAUACUGAGAAAGCUUGUCACCUCGGAAUAAAUCCUCUCAUCUGGUGGCAUGAAGACAGCAGUGCUCUUUGGGGACGUUAGGGCCAUCCUGCGUGAAAGCCGUGAGUGGCGCUGUGAGAAGCAGCCGACCAGUUAUGAACGAGAGGGGCUCAUAGUCAUGAGCGUGCCUGCCGCCUCCGCCCAGAGCCAUGGCUUCCCCCGUCUCGUCUCGUGCAGAGUGGGGACCCAUCGAACCAGAACCACCACCCAGCCUCUCCCCCUCUCCUCAGACGGCACGCUCUGGCAUCCUUGGUCCCCCCAGCUCAGCCCCAAAACAUCAGUAAACAAGUGCAAGUGAAGGGGUCACAGCCGUCUGCGUUUUGUACCGUUUCCUCCUGCCCAGAGCUCAGCACAGGACCAGCAGGGGUUCUCACUACGGCUAAAUAUUCUUUCCUCAAAGAGUAGUCAGAAGGUCCCCAGACACCUUCCCCUGGACUCACUGUAGGUGUAUUUUGUUUUUAUUUGCUAUGGACCAGGACAUCCAAGACCUUGCCUGAACACAGGGGCAGAUUGUGUCCCUCCCUCCAGCACAUCCAGAAUUCUCUCAGCCAAUGCAGACUUGGCCCCAGCCGCUGGCCACCUUUCCUGCUGAGGCUGAAUCAGAGAUGAAUGUUAUUAACUACAACAUCUAAUGUUUGUUUGGGGCUUUAUACCGCACAAAGCCAACAAUUGUCAUAUUUAAUUCCCACAGCAUUCUGCAUUACUGUUACUUCUCUUUAUAGGCAUUGAGUUUCAGAGAAAUAAAGCAUCUUGCUCAGUGUCAACUGGUAGACCUAGGAUUCACUCAUGUCCUCUGACUCCCAGUCCUCUCUGCCUUCUGUGCAAGGUCAUGGCCCCCUGUAGAUUUCAGAGUAUCAUCAGAGUUGGGAUUCCUGGAUCUGUUUCCUUACCCCAUCUCUGCACCCCGAGUGACCUUAGACCUCAGCUGUCCUCCCACCUGUUCCCAUCUCACCCCCACUUGUAUGAUUAAGAGGGAGAAGAAUCGCCUGGCUGGUGUGGCUCAGCAGUUGAGUGUCGACCUAUGAACCAGGAGGUCACAGUUCGAGUCCCAGUCAGGACACAUGCCUGAGUUGCAGCUUGAUCCCCAGUGUGGGGUGUGAAGGAGUCAACUGAUCAAUGAUUCUCUCUCAUCAUUGAUGUUUCUGUCUUUCCCUCUCCCUUCCUCUCUGAAAUCAAUAAAAAUAUAUGUUUUUCAAAGAGGGAGAAGACUCCAUUUCUUGGUGAAGACUGUACACAUAAUGCAAGUGAUUCUCACAUUUAUUCUGCCAAGGACUCUUUCAAAGUCAACAAGGUUUCUUUUCAUUAUAAAAGCAAUGGGGGAAGGGAGUUAUUGUAGAAAAAAGUACAAAAUAUAGACAAAAAACCAUGAAAAUAAAAAUCAUAAUUCUGCCAUUGAGUAAUAACUUAGUAUUCUGAGCAUUGUGGUAUUUAGUCUUCUUUAACUUUUAUGAUGUACACAUGGACUUGUGUUUACAAACAUGGAAAAUGUGCCUACCCAUAACAAUGUUUGGGACCUGCUUGUGAACUUAAUGUAUUGUAAACA